rnacentral:rRNA from 1 species
AACGAACGCUGGCGGCAUGCCUAACACAUGCAAGUCGAACGAUGGCUUCGGCCAUAGUGGCGCACGGGUGAGUAACGCGUGGGAACCUGCCUUUUGGUUUGGGAUAACUCCGGGAAACUGGAGCUAAUACCGGAUGAGCCCGAGCAAUCGGGGAAAGAUUUAUCGCCAAAAGAGGGGCCCGCGUCCGAUUAGGUAGUUGGUGGGGUAACGGCCUACCAAGCCUACGAUCGGUAGCUGGUCUGAGAGGAUG